CCUACGGGAGGCAGCAGUGGGGAAUUGUUCGCAAUGGGCGCAAGCCUGACGACGCAACGCCGCGUGGAGGAUGAAGACCUUCGGGUCGUAAACUCCUUUCGAUCGAGACGAACAGCUUCCGGGUGAACAGUCCGGAGGUUUGACGGUACCGAGAGAAGAAGCCCCGGCUAACUCCGUGCCAGCAGCCGCGGUAAUACGGGGGGGGCAAGCGUUGUUCGGAAUUACUGGGCGUAAAGGGCUCGUAGGUGGCCAACUAAGUCAGACGUGAAAUCCCUCGGCUUAACCGGGGAACUGCGUCUGAUACUGGAUGGCUUGAGUUCGGGAGAGGGAUGCGGAAUUCCAGGUGUAGCGGUGAAAUGCGUAGAUAUCUGGAGGAACACCGGUGGCGAAGGCGGCAUCCUGGACCGACACUGACACUGAGGAGCGAAAGCCAGGGGAGC
rnacentral:rRNA from 1 species